rnacentral:snRNA from 1 species
GUGCUCACUUUGGCAACAUACCUACUAAAAUUGGAAUGAUACAGAGAAGAUUAGCAUGUCCCUUGCGCAAGGAUGACCUGCAAAUUCGUGAAGUGUUCUAUAUUUUUUAAGA